rnacentral:rRNA from 1 species
UACGUAGGGUGCAAGCGUUUAAUCGGAAUUACUGGGCGUAAAGCGUGCGCAGGCGGUUGUGCAAGACAGAUGUGAAAUCCCCGGGCUCAACCUGGGAAUUGCAUUUGUGACUGCACGGCUAGAGUGUGUCAGAGGGGGGUAGAAUUCCACGUGUGAGCAGUGAAAUGCGUAGAGAUGUGGAGGAAUACCGAUGGCGAAGGCAGCCCCCUGGGAUAACACUGACGCCUCAUGCACGAAAGCGUGGGGAGCAAACAGGA